UACGUAGGGGGCAAGCGUUGUCCGGAUUUACUGGGCGUAAAGGGCGCGUAGGCGGCCUGUUAAGUCGAACGUGAAAUCCCCGGGCUCAACCCGGGAACUGCGUCCGAUACUGGCAGGCUUGAAUUCGGGAGAGGGAUGCGGAAUUCCAGGUGUAGCGGUGAAAUGCGUAGAUAUCUGGAGGAACACCGGUGGCGAAGGCGGCAUCCUGGACCGAGAUUGACGCUGAGGCGCGAAAGCUAGGGGAGCAAACGGG
rnacentral:rRNA from 1 species